rnacentral:lncRNA from 1 species
AUUCAUUCAUUUUUAACCCAACCAUGUUACGAUAUCAUCUUUUUCAAACAAAGUAAAUGUUUAUUAUAUUUAAUCUCUAGUGAUAUUAUCAUUUUACUAACAAAAAUGUUUAUAUACUCUCGCAAUACACGAAUGUACUAUACUACACAUUAUAAAAUCUUGUUGUUGCAAAAAAUUGCUAAACUUUAACUGAAAUAACUAUAGGAAAUGUUUUGUUUGGUUUUGCAUUUAACUAAACUAUUUUCGAAAUAUGUUUAGUAUUGAUACCUUACGAAACGAAAGUGCAUUUUUUAUAAAUGGUCUCUCCAUGAAACUUAAAUACCCUAAAGCGGGAGGAUUCUCGGCCCAUGAUUGGUCGUUGUUUUUAAUAAUUUCCGUAAAUUACAAUACAAAAUGUGGGGAUUCGAUUUUCAUAAGCUUCUCUUGAGGCAAAUUUUUCAUUCGCCAUGGAUAGGAAUAGGUAUUAAUUGUUUGGAGCUCCGGACUGUAAGGUGGAUGCUUAAAAACCUUCCUCCGAGGCUUCCGACGAAUCGACGUUUAUGGUUUGACGUUGUCCUCGUGGAAUACAAUUGCCAAAGCUAGCGUCUUUUGAGCGAUUGAUGCUACAAUUGCUGUAAGUACAGUUUCGAAUUAAAAGUUGGACGUAAGGAAGCAGCUCAUAGUAGAUGUUUCCUUGUCAAACGCACUAAACACAUCCCGAAACCUUCCUGCCCGUCAAUCACCUAUUGCGCCGGCUCACCGCUCUUCGACCGUGGCUAUUUUUGCUUAGCGUUGUCAUAACUGACCAGUUUUCAUCUUUAGUAAUAACCCGCAUUAGAAAUUUUGUUGCGAUUCAUAUGCACCGAUUCAAAGAUUCGGUCGAUGAAAUUUUUGUCUUAACUGGUGUUCCACGUUUACCUGUUCGAGGCAGACAUUGCUCUAUAAAAAUCCUCCUCCUUAUUCUAUCGUCUUAUGAUUUCCGCACUGAACCAGAAGUUCUGCGAUAUAUCUCUUGCGAAUUUUUCGGAAAGACUGAUCCCCAAUUCCAAUAUUGAGGUGUAUCUGUAUCUUCGUAAUUUCUGUUUCUUAAUCACCAGACCCAGGUGUUUAAGCCCUUAUUUUUUCAGUAGUCUGAGGUAGUAGCAUAGAUAACUUGAUACGAAUCUCUUUGGUUCGAGAGAGAGCUGUCAAAACUCGCCAUUUGCCAAUAAUGCCACUGCUGGAAAAUAUUAGAUUGGGCAUUUCCUCGUAAUAAACAACUUUUGGGUAGUUUGAGUUUCCACAUUACCACUGAAGUAUGCAAAAAGCGCGUUACUGAUAUUAUUUUUGGGUGCUCGGUUCUCCAGUAGGCAUAUAUCACUAAUAUAUAUAAAUAAUUUUACAUACUACUAACAUCUAAUUUUACAAAAUUUUAACAACGCACUAAUUUUGGCAGUUCGUUUUAACGCUGCUCUUCUGGCAUCCCGCCUUUUUCACUAACUGCUGGUUGACGGGACCCUGAUUGUGCUUUGUUGUCAGCUCAGAAAAAAGAUCAGGGUCCGCUGCCAGCUGACAAGCGAGAGACUAAGAAAAAAGAUUCUGAUCAAUUUAUCAAUGGUAGUAGUCUGUAGAAGCCUGGGCAGAACACUAUUUUAUUAUUUAUUAGUGAUAUUUUUUCUGGUACAAAGUGCUGGUACUGUCCAACAUUCUGUUCCCUCAUUUCUGCAGUUUAUUAGCAGCAGUCCUGACAUGAAAAAUACAUUUUUGGCAGUACCGUCAUUCCAAUGGUUUUGUGGGCAUGUGCUGACUAUCCCUUUGAUAUGUAUUUAUUUAAGAUUCGGGUUAGUUAGGUAAAUUUUAAUAAACAGUUGCUCACAGUGAAAAUGGUUCACCAGUAACAUAACCCCCAUUCCAAUGGAUUUGAGGGCUUGUGCUGUCCCUCCCCUUGGUAUGUAUGUAUUUAGGAUUCGGGAUAGUUAGAUUGAUUUUAAUAUACAAGUACAGUUGCUCACAGUGAUUCAUCUGUAACAAAAGCCCUUUAACUGAAACCAAAUCUGUGAAAUUUAUACAUAUGCCAAAAGCUUUAUAUUUUAUUAAAUCUUUUUAUUAAAAUAAGUUUUAAAAAAUAAGAAAAGAAUGCAUGUAACAGUGAAAAUUAUCCACCCUAUCAGAGCUACGAUAGAUAACGAAACUUUUUUGGAAACUUAUGUUAUUUUGAUAUGUAUGUUUACUUCAAUUUACAUUCUUGCGCUGAAAUGAACUCUUGUUUAAUCUAUUAAUAAAAUAGUUCAGUUCUUAAUUUCAAGAUGGGCCGCCAUACUACAAUUGAGUAGCGAAAUUUAGUUAUUAAUUAAACAUUAUAAAAACUGAAAUGUCUCAAAGAAGCAUUGCCAAAGUUGUUGAAAAUCCCGAACAAUAGUUGGUUGGUUUAAAAAAGAAAAUCGAGUGAUAAAUAAGCCGAAAAUUAACCAAAAAAAGGUUUUUCAGUGGCCGUCAAGAGUGGUGGAUUCUAAAACAAAGCAAGAUUGAUCGACUGAGUGCACCAAAUGGUAUGGUGGAGAAACAUUUUAAAAUAAAUUGUAACGUCAACACUAUUCUAAGAGUCCUGCGCGAAAUGUUUUCCCAUAAUUACAUUCGGAAAUUCUUUCUGAAAGCACGUGAUAUUCACUGAUGACAGCAAAUGCAAUAUUUUUGGAUCAGAUGGCAGACUGAACGUUCUCUUGAUUGGGUUUUCUUUCUGGGCUAUGUGAUGAUCUGAGGUGCUCGUUCAGCUGUUGGUGUUGGUGAAUUACACUUUAUCUAAGGGAUUAUGGACAAAUAUCAUUAUCCAAAUACUUAAAAAAUAUCAUACAAAGUGCCGAAAACCUUUAAAGGCAAAAAAAGGAUAUAUUUUUAUUAAAUUUAAUGACAUAUUAUUGUACCACUUUUGAAGUAUAUUUAAAAAAAAUUUUAAUGAAAAAUAUUAAUAAAUAAGCCUGUGACGGUGAAUCUCCACAAACGCAAAAAGUGGUGAACAUUAACACUCGUUACCGGAUCGUCUGAAACAAAAAAAUUGAUGCUUUAAUAGUUAUAAGUUUUAUAUACUAUGUACGAGUAGUUUUAUAGUACUUUAUAUAAUAGUUGCUGAAUGGUCCACUCUUACUGUGACAUGCAUUUUUCUCCUACAUAUUUGGUUAAACUCACAUUUUUAUGAAAAAUGUAAUCGAAUUAAUAAAUGUUUUGUUGUAUUUAUAGUUUUAAUAAAGUGAACUCACCAAAUUCA